AUCAACUUUCGAUGGUAGGAUAGAGGCCUACCAUGGUGGUAACGGGUAACGGGGUGUUAGGGCACGACACCGGAGAGGGAGCCUGAGAAACGGCUACCACAUCCAAGGAUGGCAGCAGGCGCGCAAAUUACCCAAUCCCGACACGGGGAGGUAGUGACAAUAAAUAACAAUACGGGGUUCUUUCGGAUUUCGUAAUUGGAAUGAGUACAAUUUAAAUCUCUUAACGAGGAACAAUUGGAGGGCAAGUCUGGUGCCAGCAGCCGCGGUAAUUCCAGCUCCAAUAGCGUAUAUUAAAGUUGCUGCAGUUAAAAAGCUCGUAGUUGAAUUUCGGGACCAUCAUGUCGGUCGUGCCUCGGUACGUACUGGCAUUGUUGGUUUCUCCCUUCUGACGAACCAUGAUGUCAUUUAUUUGGUGUUGUGGGGAAUCAGGACUGUUACUUUGAAAAAAUUAGAGUGUUUAAAGCAGGCUCACGCUUGAAUACAUUAGCAUGGAAUAAUGAAAUAGGACGUUUGAUUCUAUUUUGUUGGUUUCUAGGAUCGACGUAAUGAUUAAUAGGGAUAGUUGGGGGCAUUAGUAUUCAAUUGUCAGAGGUGAAAUUCUUGGAUUUAUUGAAGACUAACUACUGCGAAAGCAUUUGCCAAGGAUGUUUUCAUUAAUCAAGAACGAAAGUUAGGGGAUCGAAGACGAUCAGAUACCGUCGUAGUCUUAACCAUAAACUAUGCCGACUAGGGAUCGGGCGGUGUUUUUUACUUGACUCGCUCGGCACCUUACGGGAAACCAAAGUGUUUGGGUUC
rnacentral:sRNA from 1 species